UAGGGAAUCUUCCACAAUGGACGCAAGUCUGAUGGAGCGACGCCGCGUGAGUGAAGAAGGGUUUCGGCUCGUAAAGCUCUGUUGUUAAAGAAGAACGUGGGUAAGAGUAACUGUUUACCCAGUGACGGUAUUUAACCAGAAAGCCACGGCUAACUACGUGCCAC
rnacentral:rRNA from 1 species